AGCGAACGCUGGCGGCAGGCCUAACACAUGCAAGUCGAACGAACCUUUCGGGGUUAGUGGCGGACGGGUGAGUAACACGUGGGAACGUGCCUUUAGGUUCGGAAUAACUCAGGGAAACUUGUGCUAAUACCGAAUGGGCCCUUCGGGGGAAAGAUUUAUCGCCUUUAGAGCGGCCCGCGUCUGAUUAGCUAGUUGGUUGAGGUAAUGGCUCACCAAGGCGACGAUCAGUAGCUGGUCUGAGAGGAUGAUCAGCCACAUUGGGACUGAGACACGGCCCAAACUCCUACGGGAAGCAGCAGUGGGGAAUCUUGCGCAAUGGGCGAAAGCCUGACGCCGCCAUGCCGCGUGAAUGAUGAAGGUCUUAGGAUUGUAAAAUUCUUUCACCGGGGACGAUAAUGACGGUACCCGGAGAAGAAGCCCCGGCUAACUUCGUG
rnacentral:rRNA from 1 species